rnacentral:piRNA from 2 species
GAUUCCGGCUCGAAGGACUUCGUGCA